GACGAACGCUGGCGGCGUGCUUAACACAUGCAAGUCGAACGGAAAGGCCCCUUUGGGGGUCCUCGAGUGGCGAACGGGUGAGUAACACGUGAGUAACCUGCCCUUGACUUCGGGAUAACUUCAGGAAACUGGGGCUAAUACCGGAUAGGAAUCCUUGCUGCAUGGUGGGGGUUGGAAAGCUUCGGCGGUUUUGGAUGGACUCGCGGCUUAUCAGCUUGUUGGUGGGGUAGUGGCUUACCAAGGCUUUGACGGGUAGCCGGCCUGAGAGGGCGACCGGCCACAUUGGGACUGAGAUACGGCCCAGACUCCGACGGGAGGCAGCAGUGGGGAAGAUUGCACAAUGGGCGGAAGCCUGAUGCAGCAACGCCGCGGGCGGGAGGACGGCCUUCGGGUUGUAAACCGCUUUCAGCAGGGGCGAAGCUUGUGGUGACGGUACCUGCAGAAGAAGCACCGGCUAACUACGUG
rnacentral:rRNA from 1 species